GACAGAGGGUGCAAACGUUGUUCGGAAUUACUGGGCGUAAAGGGCGCGUAGGCGGCCACCGCAAGUCAGUUGUGAAAGCUCUGGGCUUAACCCAGAAAGGUCAACUGAUACUGCGGGGCUAGAGUGCAGAAGGGGCAACUGGAAUUCUCGGUGUAGCGGUGAAAUGCGUAGAUAUCGAGAGGAACACCUGCGGCGAAGGCGGGUUGCUGGGCUGACACUGACGCUGAAGUGCGAAAGCUAGGGGAGCGAACGGG
rnacentral:rRNA from 1 species